rnacentral:tRNA from 1 species
AUUAUUUUGACAGAUUAAUGUGUUAAAUUUAGAAUUUAAUUAAAAAUAUUAUAAAUAUUUAGAUAAUA